rnacentral:rRNA from 1 species
CCUACGGGAGGCAGCAGUGAGGAAUAUUGGUCAAUGGUCGGGAGACUGAACCAGCCAAGCCGCGUGAGGGAUGAAGGUACAGAGUAUCGUAAACCUCUUUUGUCAGGGAACAACGGCGGGGACGUGUCCCCGGAUGAGUUUACCUGAAGAAAAAGCAUCGGCUCACUCCGUGCCAUCAGCCGCGGUAAUACGGAGGAUGCGAGCGUUAUCCGGAUUUAUUAGGUUUAAAGGGUGCGAAGACGGACGGUUAAGUCUUCGGUAAAAGCCCGGUGCUAAACCCCGUCCCGCCGUUGAAACUGGCAGUCUCGAGUGGGAGAGAAGUAUGCGGAAUGCGCGGUGUAGCGGGGAAAUGCAUAGAUAUCGCGCAGAACUCCGAUUGCGAAGGCAGCAUGCCGGCUCCACACUGACGCUGAGGCACGAAAGCGUGGGUAUCGAACAGGAUUAGAUACCCGUGUAGUC